UACGGAGGGUGCAAGCGUUAUCCGGAUUCACUGGGUUUAAAGGGUGCGUAGGCGGCGCGGUAAGUCGGGUGUGAAAUCUCGGGAGCUAACUCCGAACUGCAUUCGAUACUGCCGUGCUUGAGGACUGGAGAGGAGACUGGAAUUUACGGUGUAGCGGUGAAAUGCGUAGAUAUCGUAAGGAAGACCAGUGGCGAAGGCGGUCUCUGGACAGUUCCUGACGCUGAGGCACGAAGGUCAGGGGAGCAAACGGG
rnacentral:rRNA from 1 species